AUCAUUACAGAGUUACUACUCCAAACCCAUUGUGAACCUUACCUAUGUUCUGUUGCCUCGGCGGCGUCGGUCAGCGCCCCUCUGAAAAGAGGACGAUGCCCCUCCCGCCGGCAGCACCAAACUCUUGAAUUUUACAGCGGAUUACAGUUCUGAUUUGAAAACAAAAAACAAGUUAAAACUUUCAACAACGGAUCUCUUGGUUCUGGCAUCGAUGAAGAACGCAGCGAAAUGCGAUAAGUAAUGUGAAUUGCAGAAUUCAGUGAAUCAUCGAAUCUUUGAACGCACAUUGCGCCCGGCAGUAAUCUGCCGGGCAUGCCUGUCCGAGCGUCAUUUCAACCCUCGAACCUCCGUUUCCUUAGGGAAGCCUAGGGUCGGUGUUGGGGCGCUACGGCGAGUCCUCGCGACCCCCGUAGGCCCUGAAAUACAGUGGCGGUCCCGCCGCGGUUGCCUUCUGCGUAGUAAGUCUCUUUUGCAAGCUCGCAUUGGGUCCCGGCGGAGGCCUGCCGUCAAACCACCUAACAACUCCAGAUGGU
rnacentral:rRNA from 1 species